UGAUCAAUAGGCCUGAGGCGUGUGGGUCUCUCGACAGAUGGGAAUGCGGUAAAAGUAGGACGUAGUAGUAGAGGCAGUCGACGGGCCUCAGUCGUUGAUUUUGGAGGAAAAUACUUCAUUAAUUUUGAUAUUUCAAGCUCAUUAAUCACAAACGGAACAUAUCAAUAAAUGUAUGUAUAAAACCUGUAAAUUAUAUGAGUAUUUUGUGUAGUGGUCAGCAGAGUCUGCUGCUUCUGCAGUUCUUAAUUUACCGCAUUCCUGCAUUCGCGGGUAUUCGAUAUCUCGGCCUUCAAACAGUCGACAGAAAGUAGUAUUUUGAAGUCCUUUAUUGUUACCAGGAGGAUGGAGUUUUGCAGCAGGGCUUAGUGGUUAUGAUUUUGUUCCAUGAGGAAGGAAGAGGCACCAGGAAGCCAAGAAUUCUCCUCUGGAAAGGAGUGUUACCAGGAGUUUAGAGUUUUGCAGCAGGGCCUAGUGGUUGUGAUUUUGUUCCAUGGGGAAUGAGCAGGCACCAGGAAGCCAACAAUUCUCCUCUGGAAAGGAGUGUUACCAGGAGGAUAGAGUUUUGCAGAAGGGCUUAGUGGUUAUGAUUUUGUUCCAUGGGGAAGGAACAGGCACCAGGAAGCCAAGAAUUCUCCUCUGGAAAGGAGUGUUACCAGGAGGAUAGAGUUUUGCAGCAGGACUUAGUGGUUAUGAUUUUGUUCCAUGAGGAACAGGCACCAGGAAGCCAAGAAUUCUCCUCUGGAAAGGAGUUGAGAUUACUCCUGAUGGGUGUGAAUUAAUUAGGGGUAGUGACCCAGAGGUGAAUUCACCAGGAUGUGAUGGUGUGUGUUAUUAAGUGUUGUUAAUUUGGAAAAGGAAAGUACAUUGUUCAAUUCUUUGCUGUUGAGUGCAGGCGUAUAUGUUUGUUUCUGAAUACCGAGUUGAAAAACUGUGAUAUAAGUGAU